GAAUAGCUCAGUAGGUAGAGCAUGAGACUCUUAAUCUCAGAGUUGUGAGUUCGAGUCCCAUGUUAGACG